GUCUAUGGCCAUGCUACCCUGAACAAGCCUGAUCCUGUCUGAUCUCAGAAGCUAAGCAAGGUCAGGCCUGGUUAGUACUUGGAUGGGAGACCACUUAGGAAGACCAGGUGCUGUAGGUG
rnacentral:rRNA from 1 species